UGUAUGUGCGUCCUUGCAAUGUCGUUUCGAUCGAAGUUCAGUGCACCUCCUCUUUACCCAUGGAAGCGUAACGGACUGUCUACGACUUCCACUAACUCGCAUUCAAGAAGACGAUCGAAUCUGAAUCUAUAAUUAAGGAUGUAUGCUUUGGUGAAAUCUCAUUCUGAAAAAUAAUAAUUUGAUAACAUGAUUUUGUCUAUAGAAUUUUGCGAAAUAGAGCAGCCAAGAGAAUCCUCCAGCUAGAACCUAUCGAUCUGCGAUGUUCUCGGCUGUUAUGAAGCCUUUACUCUCUCCAUCACCGUUGCUGUUUCGCCUUCCCCCUUUCUUCUUCUUCAUAUUCUCUCUCACUCAGUUACAAAAAAAAUAUAUAUUCUCUCUCACUCUUCUUUCACAUCUUUCCCUUAUCCUCCUCUCCCUUUCAUUCCCUUCACCUAUUAAGCCUCUCAUUUCCUCUCGCCGUAACUACAGUCGCCACAGCCUCUCUCCGACCACUACCUCUCAUGUCCCGUUCCUGAGAAGCCUCUUAGUGUAGCCGUCCUACCUACCUCAAAAUCUGGUUCCAAGAAGGCUUUGAAGUGCCCCUGGGAAUAUGAUUUGAAGUAUGCAACACAUGUCUGUGUGCAGAGCAAUGAAAGGGAGGAUCUUUACUGCUUCUUGUCGUGCCAUUUUACAAGUUGAUGUAACAUUGGAGGUUGUGCAUUUAACUGAUGAAUACUGGGAAAGAGUUGGGCAUUCAUGGAUGCAAUCAUUGAAAUGGAGUAUGAUUAAAUAGCUUCAGGUCUUUAUGCUAAAGUUGUCCAUCCUCCUGAUGGUCCAUCUGUUUUGGAACUCUCACAAGACAUGGUGCAAUAUCAGACCUACUUCCUCUCGCAUCUCUCUCAGUCCCAGCUUAAGCAACAAUUUCCUUUGAUGACCAGUUGUCAUUACAUAAAUAAUAUUAAGUUACAGCUUUUAGCUUCUGGUAAUGGACAUCAUCUCAAGCAUGAAAACUACCCAGGUUGAGCAGAAACAUUCGAGGCCAUUCUCAGCUUAAAGCUAUUUCAGAGCAACUUGCUUUAGCAAAGCAUAUGGGGUUCUUCAGGUGUCUCUACCUGCAAAUGUCCAAACUGAAAUCGAGCUGAUUGGAGAGAUACUGAGUUCUUCUAUAAGCUGCCAUCACUGCAAAAAUCACUAAUAGCUCCAGUGACAUAAGAGACGUUCUCAAUUCCGUAAGGGUGGCACUUAACACAGUUUCAAUCCUUAUGCUUACCUCUUGACAAUUCUUGGUCUCGUUUCUUCAAUUUUUGGGAUACAAUGUCAUUGUCUACACGAAUAAUAACCCUCGAAUGAUCUUUGUGUACUUUUAUAAGUAAAAACUAUUUGAAUCUUUUCCUCUUCCGCAGCCAUGUGAUUCUUGGAUGGAUUUUGGUGACUGAUGAUUCUGGUACAUUCAUCUUGAGCGGAGCAUUCCUUCUGUUACAAAAAUAUGUCUCAUGAUUCUUCAUAAACUUCUUUUUUAUCGUUCAAAUUUUUAGUGUGUUUGUUUGAGCA